rnacentral:rRNA from 1 species
UACGUAGGGUGCGAGCGUUACUCGGAAUUACUGGGCGUAAAGCGUGCGUAGGUGGUGCGUUAAGUCUGUCGUGAAAGCCCCGGGCUCAACCUGGGAAUGGCGAUGGAUACUGGCUCGCUAGAGUGCGGUAGAGGAGAGUGGAAUUCCCGGUGUAGCAGUGAAAUGCGUAGAGAUCGGGAGGAACAUCAGUUGCGAAGGCGGCUCUCUGGACCAGCACUGACACUGAGGCACGAAAGCGUGGGGAGCAAACAGG